rnacentral:lncRNA from 1 species
CCAACGAUGUGUGCGGGAGGUGCUGUGGUAUGGAUCUGCCGAGAUUGGUAGUUGAUCAUGAGUUAAUUACAUGAAAUGCAAGGGAAAUAUGGCGUACAGAGACACAUUUUCUCGUAACGACAAUCACAAGAAUGAGCUAACGUAGCUGCGAGUCCAGACGUCUGCAAAUCCCCAGCAUUACAUAUGAUUGGACACUAGGAUGUGUUGGUGGGGAAGGAGUAAUGAGCGUAAAAAUAUGCCUACAGCGCAUCCGUAGGCCA